UGGAGAUGCUAUAUCAGGAAUACUCUUCUUAAAAUGAUCAACACGGAGAAAAUGUUGAUCUAAAAUUACAAGUUCGGGACCCCAAGAUUGCUGCAGAGACAAAAAAGAUGAAAGUUGGAGUGAUAAGGUUGCUACAAAACAUUUGAUACCGGGGGUAAUAUCUGAUCGAUCGGCUAAAUCAAGUAAAAGGGCGUAUAACCGAUCAAAUUGUUCUGGAUUCUGAGCUAGACUAGGAAUACCAAUGCUAUACAUUUUAAGACAUUCAUCGAACUUGUUCUGGGUGUCUGAUGAAAUGGUAAUAGUCGAAGAAUCAUCCCCCUCAUUGGAGCUGGGGC
rnacentral:lncRNA from 1 species